GACGAACGCUGGCGGCGUGCCUAAUACAUGCAAGUGGGACGCAAGGAAACACACUGUGCUUGCACACCGUGUUUUCUUGAGUCGCGAACGGGUGAGUAACGCGUAGGUAACCUGCCUAUUAGCGGGGGAUAACUAUUGGAAACGAUAGCUAAUACCGCAUAAUAUUAAUUAUUGCAUGAUAAUUGAUUGAAAGAUGCAAGCGCAUCACUAGUAGAUGGACCUGCGUUGUAUUAGCUAGUUGGUAAGGUAAGAGCUUACCAAGGCGACGAUACAUAGCCGACCUGAGAGGGUGAUCGGCCACACUGGGACUGAGACACGGCCCAGACUCCUACGGGAGGCAGCAGUAGGGAAUCUUCGGCAAUGGACGAAAGUCUGACCGAGCAACGCCGCGUGAGUGAAGAAGGUUUUCGGAUCGUAAAGCUCUGUUGUAAGUCAAGAACGUGUGUGAGAGUGGAAAGUUCCCACAGUGACGGUAGC
rnacentral:rRNA from 1 species